rnacentral:rRNA from 12 species
UGAAACUCAAAGGAAUUGACGGGGGCCCGCACAAGCGGUGGAGCAUGUGGUUUAAUUCGAUGCAACGCGAAGAACCUUACCAGGCCUUGACAUCCUAGGAAUCCUGUAGAGAUACGGGAGUGCCUUCGGGAAUCUAGAGACAGGUGCUGCAUGGCUGUCGUCAGCUCGUGUCGUGAGAUGUUGGGUUAAGUCCCGUAACGAGCGCAACCCUUGUCCUUAGUUGCCAGCACAUAAUGGUGGGAACUCUAAGGAGACUGCCGGUGACAAACCGGAGGAAGGUGGGGACGACGUCAAG